rnacentral:rRNA from 1 species
AAAACGGGUGGUAAAUCCGGAAGGUUCGACUCCUUGCAAGGGGUGUUGGGAAAGAUUUCAUCGGUAUGGGAUGGGGUCGCGUCCUAUCAGGUAGUCGGCGGGGUAACGGCCCACCGAGCCUACGACGGGUAGCCGGCCUGAGAGGGCGACCGGCCACAUUGGGACUGAGAUACGGCCCAGACUCCUACGGGAGGCAGCAGUGGGGAAUAUUGCACAAUGGGCGCAAGCCUGAUGCAGCGACGCCGCGUGCGGGAUGACGGCCUUCGGGUUGUAAACCGCUUUUGAUCGGGAGCAAGCCUUCGGGUGAGUGUACCUUUCGAAUAAGCACCGGCUAACUACGUGCCAGCAGCCGCGGUAAUACGUAGGGUGCAAGCGUUAUCCGGAAUUAUUGGGCGUAAAGGGCUCGUAGGCGGUUCGUCGCGUCCGGUGUGAAAGUCCAUCGCUUAACGGUGGAUCUGCGCCGGGUACGGGCGGGCUGGAGUGCGGUAGGGGAGACUGAAUACCCGGUACCCGAG